AGUGGGAUAAGCUAAACUUCACAAGCUGUUGGGCUCAUAACCCAAAAAUAGACACACCUUCCCAUUA
rnacentral:tRNA from 1 species